CGACGAGUCUGUCAGCUGGCCAAGAAAGCCCGCAAACUGCUCCAAUUGAAAGCUUGUAGACCUGGAAGCCGAAAUUAUUAUUUUUUAGCCGAGGAAUGCUGCCAAUUCAUAUUUAGAUAACCCUGCCAGGUGAGAUAACACGUGGUUGUAAUUUUAUAGUUUUAGCAUUACGCAAUGAAAAGCUAUAGGGUUGUUGCAUUUCAUAAGUUUAUGUGGUAGUAGUGAUAUUAUUAAAAAAAAUUACUAUUAUCAAUAUGUCAAUUCAGUUAAUAAAUCUUUUUUUUUGAACAAAUGGGUCUUCCUUCCCUACUAUAGAGAACAUGUUUGUACAUUGUAAAUGGGAAGAUAUCUUGUUUCCCUUUAUAUAUUCUUUGUUCCAUUUCUUCUCAGUAAUUUAUUCUUGUGUAAAAUAACCGCUUUAGGAAACAAGAGAUUAGAAGAUGAUUUGAGAGUGAAGUUGAGGAAUGAUGGGGACAAUCCUUUGUUAGAAAAGUUUGACACAGCUGUUGAAGAGGGGGAUGGCUAUAAAAGAGAAUAGUGUGCAUAUAUUAGUAUUUUAUGUUGAAGAUUAGGAGUUUCUUGAUGGUAAAGUCUUUUGAGGGUAUAAUUGGUAGCUAGAAAGCAUAAAAUUUCCUUUUGAAAAUUUGGCAGGUAAAUAAAUAAAUGUUCCCUUUCUUUCGGCAAUAAAUUUCUUAUUGAUGGAUGUCAUCCUUUCCUUUAUUAACUGGCAUAAAAACUUUAGUUUCUCUGGACCUUCCUUUUCUCAUUUAGAGAUUCACAGAACACAGUAUAAUGUCUUUUUGUUACUUAGGUCAGAGCUAUUUUUUGUAAAGUACUUUGUUUUCUAUCCUUUUCCAUGUUUUGAUACGGAAGAAGGAAAGUCUAGUUAUCUAAUUGACUCUGAGGACUGGAAUUUAGUGAGGCCAGUUUUGUAGUUGAAGCUAUUCCAAGGAAGUAACCAGAAGAAUCUACUUUGCUUUAUAGAUAUUUUAAUGUUGAAAUUUCUUUACAGCAAUCCCAAAUUAUAUAGCUAGUCUAUGUGCUCUGAUUUAAUAAUUAAUCUAAGGCAUAUUAUAUCAACAAAUGAUCCCUCUGAAAAAUCGACCAUAUAGAUAUAAAAUUACAUAUAUUGAUGUCUUACUCAGAUAACAUGUUUUUAUCUGCAACAUGUAGUCAUCUGGAUUUAUCAAAAUAUUCACUUUUUAAAUGUUGCGUUGCGUGCACUCAAGCUCAACAAGGACAAUAUUUUCGAGUUCAGCACGUUUGCAUGGCUGCUUCCUUCAUUCUGCUAAAUCUUUUGGCUUCUGCGAUUAGAGGUAGAAACAACAUAUCAAUUACCAAGUUAUUGUUUCGUGUCAGUUACACCUUACAAAUGUAGUAGAGGCUUCUAAAUUGCAAUAGUAUAUAUUUAACUCUUGUAUAUGUCUAUUAUAUGUGUGAAAUGGUGGCUAUGAAACAAUAAUUAUAGGUAGUAUGUUAUUGGUGUAUUAUCGAGCAAUUGUGGUGCUUGUGGGUUGGGACUCUAACGCAGCCUUGACAGUUGACAUAGGCUCUUGACACAAACUUCAUUAGCAUGUCAAGUAAUAUCAGUAACUAAUCAAUUAAAUCUCUUAUAUUUUUGCGCA